UGGCCGUAAACGAUGUGGACUUGGUGUUGGAAUGGCUCAGAGCUGCUCCAGUGCCGAAGGGAAGCUGUUAAGUCCACCGCCGUGGGAAGUACGGUCGCAAGACUAGAAACUUAAAGGAAUUGGGCGGGGGGAGCACCACAACGCGUGGAGCCUGGUCGGGUUUUAAUUGGGAUUCAACGCCGGACAUCUCACCGAGGGGCGACAGCAGAAUGAUGGCCAGGUUGAUGACCUUGCUUGACAAGCUGAGAGGAGGUGCAUGGCGUGUGACUGU
rnacentral:rRNA from 1 species